ACUCCUACGGGAGGCAGCAGUGGGGAAUAUUGCACAAUGGGGGAAACCCUGAUGCAGCCAUGCCGCGUGUGUGAAGAAGGCCUUCGGGUUGUAAAGCACUUUCAGUAGGGAGGAAGGUAGUGUAGUUAACACCUGCAUUAUUUGUACGUUACCUACAGAAGAAGCACCGGCUAACUCCGUGCCAGCAGCCGCGGUAAUACGGAGGGUGCGAGCGUUAAUCGGAAUUACUGGGCGUAAAGCGCAUGCAGGCGGCCUGUUAAGUCAGAUGUGAAAGCCCGGGGCUUAACCUCGGAAUUGCAUUUGAAACUGGCAGGCUAGAGUCUUGUAGAGGGGGUUAGAAUUUCAGGUGGG
rnacentral:rRNA from 1 species